CUACGGGUUGCACCAGUGAGGAAUAUUGCACAAUGGGGGGAACCCUGAUGCAGCAACGCCGCGUGGAGGAUGACGCAUUUCGGUGUGUAAACUCCUUUUAUAUGUCAAGAAAAUGACGGUAGCAUAUGAAUAAGCACCGGCUGAGUCCGUGCCAGCAGCCGCGGUAAUACGGAGGGUGCAAGCGUUACUCGGAAUCACUGGGCGUAAAGGACGCGUAGGCGGGUUGGAAAGUCAGGUGUGAAAUCCUACAGCUUAACUGUAGAACUGCACUUGAAACUUCUAAUCUAGAGUAUGGGAGGGGGAGGUGGAAUUAGUGGUGUAGGGGUGAAAGCCGUAGAUAUCACUAGGAAUACCUAAAGCGAAGGCGAUCUCCUGGAACAUUACUGACGCUAAGGCGUGAAAGCGUGGGGAGCAAACAGGAUUAGAUACCCCGGUAGUC
rnacentral:rRNA from 1 species